GUUUCCAAUCUUGCAUCCAACACGAGCGAUUCCACACUCAAGUUGAUUUCCCUAGUGACAAUUUCGGGUUGGUGGUCUUCUCUCCUUAGAGAGGAAAUGUUUCAAGUGUUAUAAACUCAUAAUAUUCAUCAAAAUCUCCUAAUGAAACCCUACAUUAUUCUAUUUAUAGUAUAUUACAAAUAAUAGGUAAAAUGACCAAAAGGCCCCUUAAUGAAGGGGUACCCCUCUAGUGUAUGUAGUGGACUGUUUUGGUGUCCAUUUAGGUGCUCCUUUGCACUUCAUUGCACACACUAAGCCUCGGGUCUAACGUACGCCCUCAUAGGUCCAUCUACGUGAUCGUACUCGUAUCAUCCUCCUCUUCUUUAAAAGGAUUCGACCUCGAAUCCGUACCUUGCAAAAUUAAAGAGGAAACAAACAAGUACACAUCCUCAUGGCAUGAGGGUUAGGGUUAGCAAAAUAAAAAAUUAGCACUAUCAUGCCACGGUGGUACGCACUUGAAGUACAACCAAGGAUCCUUUGUGUAAAUUUUGAAAAACUUUUGUACAAUAUCACAAACGAAAGGGCUCGGAUGAACAUCAAGAAUUAAGGGACAAAAACUGAGACUACGCCUCUUAUACGAUGUAUAUCCAAUAACAUCAUGAAUAUCAUCAUAUGCAUAUAGGUAGUGAAGAAAGGCACCAAAGACACAAUUCUCAUCUAAGAUGUAUUCACAAGUAGGAACACACAACGAGAGAAAGGGACAUUGCAAGCUCGUAGGACCUCUCUCCUUCCAACCACUUACCGAGGGAAGACAUUCCAUCAAGGGAGUCAUACCAAUAGGGAGAAUAGGGAAACUACCAUGCAACAAUCCAAUCCAAGGCAACUAGUUUGCCCAAGAACUCGGCUUCCCUCUAAAAAUGAUGUGAAGCACGCUCCCAAGAGUCCCACAAGAUACUUCAACUUGUCCAACCCCACGAAGGUGACGAAGUCUUUAACAUCCUUGGACCCUUCCACAAACAAGAAUACAACUUGACAUCCUCAAGUUGUGGUUCACAUAACUUAAAUAAAAGUGUGUCAAACAUGGAUGCAUGAAUAUGAGCAACACCCCAAAGAGACAAUGACACAUUUGCCCUACGGUCCUCGAGUAGACACAAACCACCAUUAACAUCAAAGGGAUCACAAUUCAAGUCACCAUAUUUGUCAAGCACGGGUAGGGUGUCAUGCAAAGGAGUAAAAGCAAAAUCAUUUUUCAAAAAUAUGUCAAGCACAUGAUUAACCCUAUGAGCCAAGCAAACAUUAGAAUCUUUACAACAACAUAGGCUCACGGGUUCACUCCUUUGUCCUUGUCCAACAUCUUCAAAUUCUUCACUCACUUGAGAUUCAUUAAUCACNNNNNNNNNNNNNNNNNNNNNNNNNNNNNNNNNNNNNNNNNNNNNNNNNNNNNNNNNNNNNNNNNNNNNNNNNNNNNNNNNNNNNNNNNNNNNNNNNNNNNNNNNNNNNNNNNNNNNNNNNNNNNNNNNNNNNNNNNNNNNNNNNNNNNNNNNNNNNNNNACAACAUGUACAUCAUCCACAAGUGGUAAGGAAUCAAUAUACUCAUAUGUAGGUAAGCUACUACUCACACUCAACGGCUUAUUAGUCACAUGUUCAUCAUUCACAUGUACCAAAGUAUAAAAGUUAGUUAUUUUUCCUUGACGUUCAUGAGUAUGUUCAUCUUUACCUCAGUGUGAAAGUCCUUCACAAGUUUGGGCAGCAACUUCCUUCGGGAAGCUCUCACCGCAAGGUGUUUGGACCUUAGGUUUUGGAUUUGUUGGGAUAAGUGUGGAUACCAAUUGGCGUAGCCUUUCAACGAGCCCUUUCAUGUCUUUAAUAUUGUCAGUGAUGCGGUCAAACGUGGCAUCGAGAUUGGUGGCAGCCAUAGUAACUAAAAGAAAAGACAACAACGAACAACAAAACAAAAAACUUGUUAGCUCAAAAAUGCCUCACCAUACUCACUCUCGAUUUUUACCUCACACUUGGUUUUACAAGUGUUGAAAGUCGGCUUGUACUUCGCGAGUGAUUGAAGGUCGAGUCUACUCUUGCCCGAAAUAGAUUUUCGUUUGAGUUGACACAAAGAAAAUUUGUUUACGGACUUAAACCAACAAGAUACAACGAAUUCACAAAAGAUAAAAGCACACAACAAACGUAGACACGAACAAACGGACUCUACAACUAACUUACAAUCUAGUAGGAGAUUACUAGUUUGUUAAUUAGUGUUUGAACCAACAAACGGAACUAGGAAACAAUAAAAUGAAACUAAGAAAUCUGAAAUUUGAGCUUAAAAAUUGCUGGUGAACAGUAAAAACGUGAUGUGGCAGCCACGUAUUGGUUGCAGUUGUUAUCAAAUUUUAUAUUCUAAUUCAAGUCUUGGUCCAAUUGUAAUUUGAAAUUGGUGGGAAUUGGUUAAGGAGAGAAAACAAGUCUUGAAAUCCUCUUUCAAAUUCAAAAAGCAAGACUUGACUUUUCUCCUCAAGACAUGGUCCUUAAAUCAUGGAAGGUAUGGAAGGUUUGGAAAAGUGGUUGUUAAAGUCCUUGAGUGGUUGGAAUUGGUUGUAAAAGUCUUGAGAGGUCUUAAAUUUUGGAAAUAUGUCUUUCAAAACUAACAAAAUACACUCUCUUUCUUCAACUUCUAAGAUCAAACGUCCACUUUUUCUUCAACAAUAGAUGAAGAAGUGAAGAACACCAAGAACACAUUUUUUUGAAUCUUGAAGUUCUAAGGUUCAAGUUGAACCCCAAACAUCAACAAUACCUUUCCAAGCUUAAAAAUACAACACAAUAACCACCAUACACAUUCAAACCUUGAACCAACAACACAUCACACGUCCAAUCUUUGAAUCCGCAACAACAAUCACACGGCCAAAGUUUAGGUUCACAACAACAACAUCAACAAUUAAAGCUCAAAUCUAGAUCUAGACUUCUUUAGUGUUAGAGGUGAAGAAGCUAACACUAGAAACAACAAAACAAAUAAAAUGACUCCUAGAUCUAGACUCAAAACAAGAAAAAUCUCAGCCAAGACACAACAAGAACACAAUUUCGGCCAAGACAAAAAAAUGGACAGAUUUGCUUCUUUUUGGAAUUUUCAGAAUUCAACUUUUUUUUUUUUUUUUGAAUUUUCUAACAAGCAAGGCCAAGAUUGAUCUUGUAGGAACAAGAUCUAGGCAUUCUCUGAUGCCAAAUGAUACAAGAAAGACAAGGAAACAAGAAACAAACACCAAAAUCAGUCCACUAGCCAAGAAACCGAGGACCUCUUUUGGUGACCCCUCUCGGAUUCGCUACCAACAAGAAGAAUACAAGGCACAAGGGCGUAAUAACACCAAAACAGUAGCAACACAACAAGAACAAGAUGAACAAUAGACUAAUUUUGGAUUCCACAUUAACAACACAAACACACGGUUACAACAUCAACACUACUACACCAUUACAAAGAAACAAAAGGAUAGUUAGUUAGACAAAUUGAAGGUAUAAUAUUAACAACCCAAAAGCCUAUUCCACUCUUGGACCUUUAACAUCACACACAUCAAAUACUUAACUCUUACGUUGGCACAAGAAUAACCCCGAUCUCCCAAGCAUCCAACGUUUCCAAGCUUGAAUCUAACACGAGUGAUUCCACAAUCAAGUUGAUUUCCCUAGUUACAAUUUCGGGUUAGUGGUCUUCUCUCCUUAGAGAGGAAAUGUUUCAAGUGUUAUAAACUCAUAAUAUUCAUCAAAAUAUCCUAAUACAUUAUUCUUUUUAUAGUGUAUUAAAAAUAAUAGGUAAAAUGACCAAAAGGCCCCUUAGUGAAGGGGCACCCCUCUAGUGUAUGUAGUGGACUGAUUUGGCCCUUUUAGUGUAUGUAGUGGACUAUUUUGGUGUCCAUUUAGGUGCUCCUUUGCACUUCAUUGCAUACACCAAGCCUCGGGUCUAACGUACGCCCUCAUAGGUCCACCUACGUGAUCGUACUCGUAUCAUCGGGAAGCCUAUUUGUUUUAAUCGACUUCCUCCCAAAAACCAUCCCUAAGAUCCCAGGUCUUCGGGUAUUUGCCUUCACCAAGACUUCCUCACCACUCACAUUACUCCGAGUAGCUAACUUAAGAGUCAGCAGUAUCAUAAUUACAACUCUUCGAUAUUGUUGCCUGCUUACUAUUGGUUUGCCCAUCAGUAUCCUCACCUGAGGAUGACGAAAAAGACAGAAUCCUCGUCUUCUACAUCUACCUCCUUUAAAAAGAAAGCCCGUCCUCUACUAUCCAAAAACAUAUGAAAACCGUCUUCAAGGCCAUUCACAGCUAUAUUACACGGUACCUGUGUUGGUUGGAGGUAACAAGUACCGGGUAGAAUAGCAGAGGUGCGGGCAACAAAGUUAGAAAAAAAAGAAGUGAAAUACUAAAGCCUCUCAACAUGAAUUCUGUCUUAAUACAUUAUGAAUAACAUAGUUCUCACACAGCAAUACUACAACAAUUCAACUUAUAGCCCCUUCCACUACUAUAAAUGUAAUGUUUCGGAUAAGCCAAAUUAAUAUCUAUUAACUCCCUAUUAGGUGUAGGUAUCCUGUCAAAACACCAACAACAACAAAAACAAUAAUAAACAUCAGAUAGUAUCAGACCUUG
rnacentral:lncRNA from 1 species